rnacentral:rRNA from 1 species
AGAUUGACACAGCUUGCUGUAGAUUGAUUCAUUUGAGGUGACUGAGUGGCGGACGGGUGAGUAACGCGUGGGUAACCUGCCUCAUAGAGGGGGACAACAGUUGGAAACGACUGCUAAUACCGCAUAGUAAGAAAGAUUCGCAUGUUUCUUUCUUGAAAGAUUUAUCGCUAUGAGAUGGACCCGCGUCUGAUUAGCUAGUUGGUAAGGUAACGGCUUACCAAGGCGACGAUCAGUAGCCGGCUUGAGAGAGUGAACGGCCACAUUGGGACUGAGACACGGCCCAAACUCCUACGGGAGGCAGCAGUGGGGAAUAUUGCACAAUGGGGGAAACCCUGAUGCAGCGACGCCGCGUGAGUGAAGAAGUAUUUCGGUAUGUAAAGCUCUAUCAGCAGGGAAGAUAAUGACGGUACCUGACUAAGAAGCCCCGGCUAACUACGUGCCAGCAGCCGCGGUAAUACGUAGGGGGCAAGCGUUAUCCGGAUUUACUGGGUGUAAAGGGUGCGUAGGUGGCAAGGCUAGUCAGAUGUGAAAGCCCGGGGCUCAACCCCGGUACUGCAUUUGAAACUGUCUAGCUAGAGUGCAGGAGAGGUAAGCGGAAUUCCUAGUGUAGCGGUGAAAUGCGUAGAUAUUAGGAGGACACCAGUGGCGAAGGC